rnacentral:lncRNA from 1 species
CUCCUUCCAACAGCCCAAGUAGAGACAAACCACUACAGGAAAACUUUCUGCCCCUGAGGUGUUAUAAAAGUGUAACUGGAAAGGUCUAGAUAAAAUUUACUGCAAAGAUAAAAUUUACUUAACAGAGUGCAGAAAAUUGCAGUUCUGGAAACACCUUGGAGAUCUGCUGGCUGGUGGCUGAGGCUGACCAGUGUGAGGGGUAGGAGUAAUAUGCAGAGGGUGGACCUUGUAGAAUGGGGAAAAACCAGUGAGAGAAAGCACGGGCAUGGGAAGCACUUCCCACAGUGCAGCUGGCACUGUGCUUUCCCAAGAAGAGAAAGAAGUGGUCUACAGCCCUCAAACCCAGGUUGCACACACCAUUGAUCCCUUUGACUACCAGCUUCCAGACCUGCUGCCCAGGAGCCAUCGAGCUUUUCUGAGCUGGUCUUGUCAGAGAAGCUGUUAGAUUUCUUCUUGCUAAGGCCCUGGAGGACACUAAGCUACAGGUGGGUAGUUUUCUGCAUUGUAGCACAGCAGAUGGGCUCUGGCCGCCAGAGGUAGCAGGGGAGAUGAUAGGUACUAUGGGU